UCACCAAAAAAAAGUGUAAGAAAAUUGUAGUAGCUCAUAUCGGUACAAUCAUUUUCCUUUGCACAAUGCAAAUGCUAGGAUUUCUUGUCUAUAUGUAUAACAACUCCAAUGGCAGGUAAUACUCAACAAAAUUCUUUACUAUUUACCAGCUGUGGCAGGUAGUGAGUAGGAAUUUAGGGCACUUUUGUCUUGUAGUCACUGAAACCUAGUUGGUAGAGCCAAACCCUAAUCUCUACACAUGUCAACCCUCCAUGGGAACUAUUUUGUUUGCUGCAGUGAUCUGAUCUAUAGGGUUUCAGCAAAAUAGUUGGGUGUUAUAUACAAUUGUCACCAGCUGAUAAGAGCAUCAGAAAUGACCCCCUUUGCUUAGUUGUCAGUUGUCAGACCAUGGUCCCUGGCACUAUCUUGCUGAAAGUGUGGAUCCUACCGUCCUCGUUAGGUUGGCAUCCUCCUCCUCUUCUGACAGUGUAACCAUCAAAAUAAAAAAGGAAAAAAAAGGCUUGGUUAAAAGGUGUUAGACGUGUCUCGAAUUUUUUAAUAAAUGAGGUUUUCCCAAUCCUAUUGAAACUUUCUGCUUCUGUGUGGUUUUACAUAUGCUUAUAUCUGAUUUUUUACGAUACAAGAGAAUUUGGUGUACUUAAAGGCCAGGAUUUCUGAAAGGUUUAGUUUUCGGGCGAUAGAUGCUUUUGACCCUACCGUGCUCUUUACUCUGUCUUCGCCCGUAAAUGUAGGCUUCAAAGUUUUACGAUGAGGUGCUAGUGCUGGAAUAGAGGUGUGCUGUGCAGGAUGGAGAAGCAGGGCACGUGCAUUUCUAUCUAACUUACACCAUCUCUUUCUCUCCCUCUCUCUCUCUCUCUCUCUCUCUCUCGCGCGCGCGCGCGCUCGCUCGCUAGAGCGUGCACGCGCAAGGUUACUAUGCUAGCUAGUUAUUCAUGUGCCCAUCUUCUCCAUCAUGCCCACCCCACCUAAGCUGGACAAACCACUGCUGCAAUGGAGAUCGCAAAAUAUUACACUCAAGGUAACCUUCUAUGAAGCUUGGUGUUCUUAAAGGUUUACCGCGUCGCGGGCCUCAAAACACUACAUGGUUCAUCAUCAAAAGAUAAGUCUCUCUCUCUUUCUCUCUUUAUCUGCAUGGAAAUUUCUAAAUAUUUCACUACCAUCUAUUGUAUGUUACAUCUUUUAGCUGUGUUCUUGUUUACAUCAGCUUUUAUAUAUACAUGUGUUGUUUGAUUUCUUAAAGCAAGUAUAUAUUUUGGACUGUUACUCUGCUUAGUUAAAAGAAAAACAAAAGCCAGUGCUUCUUUAAGGUGUUCUUUACUCUUCAUGUUGCAGUCUCUAUUAUCCAAUAUUUAAUAGAUUGUGCGAAUUGUUUCGAUAAGAUUUGUUUGUUUUAUUACUAGAGAUUUCCUCGAACAUACACAUAAAUUGAAAGGAUGUGCUUGACAUGCAUGAAAGAACCAAAAACCAAAGGAAUAUUUGGUCACAUAUAUAUUGUCAUGAUCCUUGAAUUUCUCGGUAACAAACUUUUGAUCUCAAGAAGAAACUAGGGCAUGUUUGGUCCAAAAUGAAAAUCAGAAUCGGAAUAAGAUCGGAAUGAGAAACGGAAUAAUAAAAUCUCCCAACUUGUUAGGUUCAAACUAGUAAUCGAAAUCGGAAUAGUUGAUUCCAUUAUCACUGUUUAGUUAAGAUUAUAGUAAUAAUUUGAACAAAUUUAGAUUCACAAUUUGAACAUACAUCAAAUCUUAAAUUCGUGUUCAAAUUUGAAUUCAAAAUUAGGUAUUGAAUUCACAAUGCAAAUUCAUAUUUAAAUUGAAAUUCAAAAGUAAAAUUAAAUUCAAACAACAAACUUGAACUAAAAUUAAAUUUUGACCAUAAAUUAAAAUUUUGACAAAAAAUCAGUUUUAAUAUUUCAAUUUGUAAUCUAAAUUUGAGUUCAAACUUGGAUGGGCAAUUUGAACUUAAAGUUUGAAUUAAAUCUGAAUUCACGGUUCAAAUUCAAAUGAUAUGAUUUAAAUAAAAAUUCAAGUUCAAGUCAAAAUUUAAAAACUAGAAUUACACGUUAAAAAAAAAUCAAAUUUAUAUUUGAGCUUAAGAAAUUAAAACUUGAGUUUAAAAUUAAAUUUAUGAUCUAAAUUUGAACUCAUCAUAAAAGUCGAAUUUAAGUUUAAGUUUCAAUUCUAUUUGAAUUUGAUUAAUUGGUAGUGGAAAAAAUAGGGGGGACUCUUGCAAAGUGUCAGGAAUCACGGGAGUCAAAAGAAGAAGAAGAAGAAGAAGAAGAAGAAGCAAAUAAGUAAACAAGAUGGUACACAAAUAACGGCAAUUAACGUCAGUGCUCAGACCACAAAUCCAAAAAGCUUUGGAUAUCCCGAAAACCUGAGAUACGUUUGUACUUCUUUCUCUGAAAAUAAUAUAAUUUCUCAUUAUUUCUCUCAAACCAGAUUGCGCAUCAUCUCGGAAAGUGAUCUCUUGCAAUUUAGAGAUGGACGUUAGCGAGUUUUGGUUCAGCGAAACCCAAAUCAAUCCAAAACUCAAGCCUUUUUGAUCUAGGUCCUGUGUGAACUUCUUACUCACCUGUGUAAGUCUUAAAAAUGGAAUACUGUGAUUUUUCAUAGGCAGGUACAUUUCUUGGAUACUCAAGCCGGUAAAAAUAUCAAGAUAUAUGUCUUUGAAUUCAACGUUUCGGUUUUAUCUCAGUUUCCUUAGAGAGUAAUGCUUGUUAAAUUACGUGAAAUAAUCAUUUUAUUUUUCCAAAAACUUAAACUGCUAAAUAACAGUGCUUUUAAUAUUUACAUUCAAUGGCUCAAUGCUCUCCCCUAUGCUUGGGCUCGAAAACUUUUUUUUUAACUGUAAGAUGCUAAUUUAAAUUAAAUAAGAGAAGAUUAAAUAACGCCAUGAGUCUGGCGAGACUUGAACUCAGAAUCUUUUGUUGUGAUAUCAUGUUGAAUUAAGUGAAACAAUCUCUUCUUUUUUUUUCCAAAAACUUAAGCUGCCAUAUUUAAUAUUUAUAUUGGGUGAUCUACUUCUCUAGCUCAAAUGCCAUGCACGCAUGAAACCAAGCAUUUGUGGCAACUGCCAUUUUUGAUCCAAGAGUAGCGUUAUUUGUCUAGCGGGGUAGAUUCUAUGUAUAUUUGCACAGCCAUUUCAAGCAAAAUUUGGUGCCAACAACAGUUGCUGCUAUUCGAAGAUAAAUGUUCGUUAUAAUUCAAGAUCUCCAGUUUUAAUUACAGAAUUGUACCCAAUGUGUGCCCCAGCGAGACGAGGGGAUUGUCGUCGGGGUCUGAGGAGUACUGUCCUGAACUGACGAAGUUGCCGUUGAUGUCGAAUGCGACGGUGCCGUUAACUACGGUGAUAUAUGUAUAUGUUGGUAACCCCACUAAAUUUCAAAUUAGAGAAUUUAUUCUAGUCUGUUGAGUUGAGCUCAGAUCAAAUUGCAGUCCUACUGUUUUAUCCUAGCGUUCGAAUUCUACGUUAUAAAAUUCAUAUAAAUAGUACUGACCAUGCAGAGGAGCUGCGAAUACACCCCGUUACGAAUGCGUUGCUUGGGAAGGAAACUUUUCGCGUGGUUUAGCCACAAUUGCUUUAUUGCAAUUCUUUUGUACGAAUCCUGUUACAAAUGAAAUGCGUAAAAGCUGGCUUGUCCUGAAAUAUUAUUUGGCUUAGAGGCUAUAUGACUGCAGGUACAGGUAAUCCACGAACAAGAACAGUUUGUAUAAAUUAUUCAUAAUAGUGCAUUCCAACAUUCA